GACGAACGCCGGCGGCGUGCUUAACACAUGCAAGUCGAGCGGUAAGGCCCUUUCGGGGGUACACGAGCGGCGAACGGGUGAGUAACACGUGGGUGACCUGCCCUCAGCUCUGGGAUAAGCCUGGGAAACCGGGUCUAAUACUGGAUACGACUCCAUGACGCAUGUUGUGGGGUGGAAAGCCUUGUGCGGCUGAGGAUGGGCCCGCGGCCUAUCAGCUUGUUGGUGGGGUGAUGGCCACCAAGGCGACGACGGGUAGCCGGCCUGAGAGGGCGACCGGCCACACUGGGACUGAGACACGGCCCAGACUCCUACGGGAGGCAGCAGUGGGGAAUCUUGCGCAAUGGGCGAAAGCCUGACGCAGCGACGCCGCGUGAGGGAUGACGGCCU
rnacentral:rRNA from 1 species